rnacentral:rRNA from 1 species
GUCGAGAAUCUUUCACAAUGGGGGCAACCCUGAUGGAGCGACGCCGCGUGGAGGAUAAGGUCUUCGGAUUGUAAACUCCUGUCAUGCGAGAACAAAGCCUCACGGUCUGAUAGUAUCGCAAGAGGAAGAGACGGCUAACUCUGUGCCAGCAGCCGCGGUAAUACAGAGGUCUCAAGCGUUGUUCGGAAUUACUGGGCGUAAAGGGUGCGUAGGCUGCGCGGCAAGUCAGAUGUGGAAUCCAUGGGCUCAACCCGUGAAUUGCAUCCGAUACUUCCGUGCUCGAGAACUGGAGAGGGGUUUGGAAUUCUCGGUGUAGCAGUGAAAUGCGUAGAUAUCGAGAGGAACACCAACGGCGAAGGCAAAACCCUGGACAGUCUCUGACGCUGAUGCACGAAGGCCAAGGGAGCAAACGGGAUUAGAAACCCGUGUAGUCC